CCACGCGCUGGGCGGGGUUGCGCUCCCAGAUGAGGUUUCCCACCGCGUGCAACAGGUGCGUCUUUCCCAGCCCCGUGCCGCCAUA
rnacentral:antisense_RNA from 1 species